AAACACACACUUUUUUAAUUUUUUGCUGGCACUCUCUCCAAGCGUCUAUAUAUAUAUAUGCUGAGCUACGUACAACUUUUUUUUUUUUUUAUUUUUUUUUAACUUAUUUACACAGCUGGGCCAUUUUACAAUUUACUGGCGCAAUUUAAGGGUUGUGGUGGUCUGGAACCUAUCCCAGAAGCAUAGGGUACAGUUUACCUGAAACACAUGUCUUUGGACUGCUGGAGGAAAACAGGGCACCCAGAGGAAGACCAUGGAGAUUCAGGGAGAACAUGCAAAGCAGACUGAACCCAUGUCUAAGCGCAGAGCCCAGACCCCAUAGGGCACCGGUGCUACUUGCUGUGCCACCUCACUGGCACCGAAACACUGCGCUUGUAAAUGACAGUGGGGCAUGACUACAGGUUAUUUCAACAAGGAGAUUCAGGAAGGUGCCUUGUGCAAGAGUACAGCAUCGCAGUCCUCCAGAGAUUUAUAGCACCCUUCAUGUUAAAAGUCAAUAUCUGUAUGGUAUAAUAUACUGUAUAUGGUCCAAUAAAUACGGUACAGAAGGUGAGGUAAUCCUGUAG
rnacentral:lncRNA from 1 species